CUUCCCCCUCCAAGUUGCAUUAUAUUUAAAUGUGUGUUGGUUUAUUAUGAAGUUUCAGUUUUAUUUUGGAAUAGUAGUUCUGAAUUCUGAUAUCCCACACUUGCCAGUAGCCAAUACAAAACAGAGUUGUUCAAAAGUAUCAGAAGGAAUACUAUGGAGGUAUAAAUUUUAAUCAAUGUUAUGGAGGUUAAUCACUGAGAUGUGAUUAAAUGGAAUGACAUGGACAGUGAAGAUUCAUAUAGUCAACCCCAACUUACUUGGAUUGAGGUGUUGUUCUUAUUGUUGUUGUUGUUGUUAAUGUGGCAGUAGAUUUGAAAUUGAAGUAAGAAUUGAGGCAAAAAUUUGAAACAAGUAUCUUGCUCUGGAAGCUGUACUGUUAUGCUGACUGCCAAAGCCUUAUUCUCAAAUAGUCUUUUAGCAGUCUGACUUGAACAACGAAGUUGGUCAUUUGGUUGUAAUCCUCGGUUUCUCUAUACAACUGAAUAACUACUUCUCCUUUUCCUCUUUAAAGGGGGUCAUGUAAAUAGUACGUUAAGUGAAGAGAAAAUGCAUAACAGAGCAUAUAUAUUUUACAGAAUUAGCUCUUCAUUUUUCAAGUCUCUUUAUAGUACAUAAACAAAGAGAUGAUCAAAUUAGAAAAGAAAAUGUAUACAAGAGCAUAGCUUCUUUCUUUUUUUAACAGAGAUUCAUGCCACCAUUUUUCUUCAAUCAUUUCAAAGUUGAGAAAUAUAGUUAACCACUAAAAAAGUUAGAAACUAUGAGAGAUUUGUGUGAGUGUGUGUGUGGUGGUGGUGGGGGUGGGUGGUAAAUCAUCUUCUUGACUCAUGGUUCUUUCUUAUUUGCAUGUUGUCAUCACUAGAACACACAUUUUUUUCUGUAUUGUGAGAAUUCAUCAUGAAUUGACUAGUUAGCUUUUAUGUUGAUUGUCAGCCAACUACGACCCCCACCACCACCCCUACCCCUACCACUACCACCAACAACGACCUAGCCUAAAAUCGACAAUACGAACUACUAAAAAUUAUGAAUUUUAGUGAUAGAUUAUGUAGCUAAAUCUCAAAAUUCAUUGCUAGUCCUAUUUAUCAACGGAUUAUCAACAAGCUGUGUUAGCUAUUAACUAUAACUAUAACUAAUUUCAUUUGUUGUUUUUUUUGUGUAUAAUGAACAUUUUCACAUUAAACUAAGAUGAGCUUAAAUGAGACAUUAAACAGUGAAAAUUCAUAUAAUCGACCUACGUAACUUGAGUGGAAUUGAGUUGUAGUUGGUGUAGUACAUAAACAUGUAGAAUCUUUCUUAUUAGUACACAACUUCAACUAUAUUGGUCUAAUUGUAACUUAUAUAUGAAGGGGUUAUACCAUUGUUAAGGUUAAUAUAUCCACUAGAAAAUAUUCUAUUAAGCAACCAUUAAUACUUAUAGCAGGGCAGAUUGUUUAUAUCACACUUCUAAUGGUGCGAUUUUUUUCCAAAUUCUGUGUGAACGUAAAAUGCUUUGUUCCCCUUUAAUGUGACUAUUGAUAUAUAUAUGUUUAUAUUGGAUGAAUUAGGUGUUCCAUGGACAGAAGAGGAACAUAGAAGAUUCUUAAAUGGACUUGAAAAGUUAGGUAAAGGAGAUUGGAGAGGAAUUUCAAGAAAUUUUGUGACAACAAGGACUCCAACUCAAGUUGCAAGUCAUGCUCAAAAAUAUUUUCUAAGACAAUCAAGUCUCAACAAAAAGAAAAGACGUUCAAGUCUUUUUGAUAUGGCAAGGAGCAACAACAAAUAUGUAGAUUUUGGUCAUAAUUGCCAAGAAGAUGGUCAAGAAAUUACAAGAUCAUCUCCAUUAGAUCUAAAUUCAUUUGGAGAAAAGUGUGAAAAUUCUAUUUGGAGUUAUGGAUCACAAAAUUCUCAUCACAAUAAAGUUCCAAAUAAGUCCAUUUCUUCAAAUGGAACUCUUGAUUUGGAGCUAAGUCUUUCAUCUCCAAGAAAUAAUAUUGUGGAAAAAAAUAAUUCAUCAUCCUCCAAAACUACUUUCAUGAAUAUUGGACCAAUUAGAGUUACCUAACUUGUACUAAUUAAAGUCCUUGUUUAGUUAAAAGUGACUUUAUUAUUAGAGUUUUUAAGUGAUUAAUUAAUUAGCACCA